ensembl:lncRNA
CAGAGCGCAGGCAGCGGGGUGGGGCGAGCAGCAGAGGCACAGAGGACGUGGCCGGGCGCCCUGGGCAAGAACAAGACCCGAGGCCAGGGACCAGGGGCCCAGAAGAGUGUGGCUGUCACAGAGCAGAGCCUGCGCCGGUGGGCACUAGGACCCCACACCCAGGUCUUGCCGGCUGCUGGCCACUUCCCCAGGGACAGGGACACUGAAGCCCAGGUCGGUACAGUGCCCGUGGUACAGCUGGAAAUGGGAGCUGUCAGCCCGUCCUGGCCACUGCCUGAACCAGGCCCCUGAGGGUGAUGUCCAUGUGUCCCGUGGGCCUGGGGACUCCCAUGUGCCCCAUCCUGGCUGGGCUGGGUGCCGACCGCCACCCCUGGUGCCUCUCUGCAGCAGCGGGACCAGGGUUUCUGAGAAGUCAGGGCCGGCCCAGGGCUCUGCCGGGGAAAAGGCCUAGAACCCUUUCCAGCUUGGCCAUCAGCAGGUCUGGGACAGUGGCCCGGCCAGUUUGCCUUCUCUGUGGUGCCGCCUAGGACUCAGUGCAGCAGCCCAGUGUCCUGAGGGGUCUGGGGCCUGGGCUGUGCUGGGCACCCUCCCCAGCAGGGUCUGCCCUAGACCCCCAGCCUCACACGGACCCAGGCAUGCUCCCAUGGUCCCCGGUGUCCUGUGGGCACAAUGGCAGGUAAAACCAUGACCCAGGUGGGCCCUUCAUGUGGACUCAGGCACAAGUGCACCCCAGGUCUCUGACCACCAAGCUCUCGCAUGCAGGGAGCCACAAGGGCAUAGUUCCUGGACCAGGACAGGGUCCCAGAGGGCUGUGACACACGUGACCGGCUGCUUUGGUUGUGUUUUCCAGUACUAAGGAUUGAACCCCAGGGGCUCGUGCAUGCUAGGCAAACACUCUACCACUAAGCCAUGGCCCCAGCCCUUUAAAAAAUUUUUAUUUUGAGAUAAGAUCUGGCUAAGUAGCACAGGAUGGCCUUGAAUUUGCAAUCAUCCUGCCUCAGCCUCCCAAGGAGCUGGGCUCACAGGUGUGCGGGGCAUGGUUUUUAAUUGACUUGAACUUGCUGUCCUUGAAGUCUGCUCAGAUGGACCCAGGAUGGGGGGGGGCACCAUGGCAGCCCUGCUGGCCCUGUCCCCUACCCACUUCCGGCUGUUGUCACUCGCUCCCUGGCUGGCAGCGCCUAUCCAAACUUGGUGCCUGUGGUAGGCACACAACCCACACUGAGCCGCAGCCACCAUGCUGGCCUGAGGGGAGUCACCUGUCCCUGGGGUCCCCAGCCAUCACUGCCACCCAUGUGUCAGGAGCUGGGGAGACAGAGGUGGGGGGGUGGGCAGGAAGUCAAGGCUAGAAUGAGGGCAGGGGCUGGAACCCCACCACACCCUCAGCCUGGGCAGGGUCUCAGGGGGACCCCAGACGGCAGGUGAGCUACCGAUCUCAUCUGUGGGUGAAGGAUCGAGGGCAGUUGACCAAGGGGCCUCCGGGCAGGCUGGGAGGGACAGGUCUGCUCUAAUACCAGACAGUCAGUUUGCCCUAUUUGCCUUUAAAAAUACUGUGUGCUUGGUCUUUCUGUCCCAGGAAAAUGUGGACAAAAGCCAGUGUCGGGGUCCCCGCACCACACAGGUGCCUGCCAGACCCAGAGGGCCCUGAGGUGGGAUGGGGCCUCCUUGGUGUGGGGCUUCCUGGGGUCACCCUGGGCAGAAGCAUCCAGGCCCCUGGCAGCUGUGUGACCUCCGUCAGCUCAGUGCUUCUGGGUCUCUGUUCCCUGACCCCAGACACUGGGGAAGACUGACCCUCCCACACCACUGUGUGACUGUGCAGAAGCCACCGGAGUGAUGAGCAUCCAUACUGGCCUUCCCUGGGGGACAUGUGUGCCCCGGCACUGGCUCACAUGUUGGCAGCCAUAUUGGGAUCGUGAUUUGAACCCAACACCCCGUGACUGUGAGGUGGACCUGCCCCCCACUGAGGAGAAGAGCCUAGGGGAGGCCCACAGCAUACUCUCCACUCCUGGGAGUUGGCAGGGCAACUGUGGCUGCACAAGUGACGGGCUGGUGGUGGCACCUGCCUCAAUGCUGCCCAUGUUGCCAUAGCAACCCCACACUGUAAGGAAACCAUGGGCUUCUCCCCAAGUCUACCCUCUUGUUUUCUGACACAGACCCUGUCCCCCGCUGUGAAUCAGCUGGUCCUGAGUCUCUGGGUCUGUGAGGAUCAUCUGCCCCUCUGAAACUGCCCUGCAGGGCUCAACUGCUGGCCAUACCACCCCACAGGGCUCAGUUUACCUGUCUGCAGAGUGGGAUUUUUCCUCCACUGCAUGGGCCAGGAGGGGGCCUAGAGCUGUCUUGUCUGUCUCUGCUACAUCCAGGGCAGAGCAGGGGAGGAAGACAUCCCUGCAGCCACCUAGGGUCAUCCUUUAUGGGUUCUGUGGGUUCACUGAGUGCCCACUCUCUGCUCUGGACAGGAUGUGACAGCAGCAGUCUUAGUUGGGAGCUGUAGUCUCAUGACCAAGGGUCAGGGAAGGAGAUGCGGGUCUGUGGGGGUCACAUAUUUGGGAAGUGGCCGGGACAGAGUGGCUUGACACACAUAGGCAGGCUCCCAGUGCCACACCAUGGCUGAAGCCAGAAGGUGGAGAGAGGUCCUCCUAGCAUCCCCUUGAUGGUCACCCAGCAGCUGCACUAGUCUCUGGUAUGACAAGUCCUGUUGGCUGUCCUUGGGCCGGUGGGCAGCAUCAGUCCCUGGAGUAUAGGCCAGCCCUUGGGCCACCAGGCUGAAGGCCACCAACCUAGGGAAAGAGAGCCCACCUUCCCUAAGGCCAAGGUGAAGAACUUUUAAUCCAGGCUGGGCAGUCCACGGUGGAGAGCUUCAGUGCUCUUGGGCAGGAGGUAGGUUCUAGAAGGCCUGCCUGCCCUGCUCCCUGGCCAGGCCAUCCCAGGCCUCAGUACAGUGCAGUGCCCAGUUUCUGGAGCGGAUGUCCCUCCUCCUCCUUCUCUCUGCCCGCUGUCCACUGUUCCCCGCCCUCUGGCUUCGGCCGCCUUUGUCUUCCCAAGCUCCACAAAAUGGCUGCUGCAGCCCUCCGCCAUUUUGUAACUGAAGUGGGCAGUGGCCUUAGGGGAAGGAGGAGGGAGACCCCUGCCCACUGCUUGCCCUGGGCAGCCUGGACGGAGCCCAGCACCAGCCCCCGCCUUGCCUGGUCUUGGCCAUGGCUGCCCUGGGCUUGGCACAGCCACUUGGCAAGGCAGCCCGGGAGACCUGGCCCCUCACCCAGUCCCACCCAGCCCCUUGCCACCACUGAGGCUUCCCCGCCAAGCAGACACUAAAGCCUCUCAGAGGUCAGGGGGAGCAUCUACGUGAAGGACGGUGUGGGAGCAUCUGGUAAAGGUGUCUCUCCAGGAGUGACGAGAUGUGGCCGGUGGCUGUGGCAUGGGUCAGGUCUUUGCUGUGGAGGAGGUCACUGGUGUACAUCAGGGCCCUGCCUCAGACCGCUGAGUGGCUCAGGCCCUUCAAAGAUGCCCGCUGUGGUUCCCAGACAGAGCCUUCUGCCACCUGGAGGUGACUUUUUUGCUCCUGGUCCCUCCUAAAGACCCCACCAAGGACGGGAUGGUCGGAUGCCACCCACUGCCCACCUGCCAAGGCCAGGACUGUCACACAUGUCACACCAGGCCUGGAGCCUCCUGGGAGGAAACACAGGAGCCCAGGCUUCCACAGGCAGGAAACACCCCCAAAGAAGGGCCAGGCCCCAGCCUCAAGGAUGGAGAGAUGGAGAUGAGAAUCGUUGGAGAUAAAUUGAGCCUUGGAGGCUACCGUGAUUGCCUGGUGGUUAAGCGCGUUGGGGACAGAGAGGCUAUGCGAUUCCACCUUCCCCUCUGGGCACCGAGUGAAUCCUGGGACCUGACCCCGGGAUAUGAUUCCUGACUUCCUUGCUGCCAUGAACAGCCCUUGGAGCUGGCAUCCUUACCGGUUUACAGAGGACACCACCGAGGCCCAGAGGGCCACCAGCCUGCCAGCAGCUGGUUGCUUGCAAGGGUCGGAACUGUGCCCCAAAACCUGUCAUCCAGGCUUCUCCUCAGCUCACAGCUGUCAGAUUCGCUCGGGCUAUUGUGGCCGCUGCUUAUGCCCGGCCCACCCUCUCCCACGCCUGGGGGCCCCAGAGACAGGAAAAGAGAGAGCCUGGUGGGGACAGACUCACAAGUGGCAUUCCCUGCCCUGUGCCAGGCUCAGCAACUCCGGGGAGGGGACCUGGGUCCCAGCAGCCCCGGAAGGCUGGCCGGCCAUGGGUCCCAUCCAGGGUCUGUGAUGCCAGAUCCUGGCUCUCAUUUGCCCCUGUAUCCCCAGGAUGCGCUUCUGGGGGCCUCAAGGCCUCUGGGUGCCUGCUCCUGGCCUGGCCAGUGCCCCCCAGCCACACUCCACCUGGGCCCAAGAACGAGCCUGAGCCAUCUCUGUGUAAGCUUGAUAUUAUUACAGGAUGGUCCUUUUUGCUUUGGAUGUUAUUUUUCUUAAUCUUACACGAAGACGUAGUGUGGGGCCCCUUAAACUGCCACAGCCUGGAAUGGCCCCAUGGGCGUGGCCCACUUCGGGGUCCCCUGGCCAGCCACAUCUGAGCCUCAGCCUGACCGGGGCUUGCGUCUCGUUAACUUUAUGGGCUGUGCGCAGGGAGCCCCGGAUGCCAGCCCUCCAUCCUUCCCAGACGCCAUUGUUGGCACGGCUUGCUGAGCAGAAACACUGGCCGCUUUAUGGGAGAAACCUAAUCAGGGCGGGCAGGGGGCCGGGGGGGGAGGGGGGGCUCUGGCUCCUGGUGGCCCUGAGCCAAGCCCGAGGUGACUUCAGGGUGAGACUGUCUGUCUGCCUUGCUCACUCCAGACAUCCGCCCAGCCCUGAAAGGGCCACCUGCCUGCUGAGGCCUCCGAGCACCUGUCCUGGAUGGCCCGUUCCUCCCCAGCCUGGCUGCCCGGCACCCUGCCCACAGGCAGACAUCGUGGGGUUGGGCAGGGCCCGGGAGGUGGCAGAUGGCGGGGCGUCUGCUGACUACUUGCUCCCUGGCGGCUCCACUCAGGGCUCGCCAUUCACUUGGCUCGGGCCAGGGAUUUAGCUCAGAGGUUCCACCGCCUGCCUCGAGAGCACAAGGUUCCAAGUUCUAUCCCUGGUACCAAAAAAAAUUAAGGCACUAUCCACCCUGCUGCCUGGCCCUCCCUGGGGCCCUUCUCCGCCAUCCCCAGGGAGGGGACGUCUCUGUGGUGUUCCCAGGAGCAAGCUGGAGGUCACGUCAUGGGCUGGGCUGCAGGCCAGGGGGGACCUGGAACAUCUCAGCCCCCACCCCAGACCUGACAUUGGGAUCUUUUCCCCACUGGUUCAGAAACGGCUGCCCCCACUCCCCAAGAUUGGUCCUUGUGUAAGGAGUCAUCCGGAUCCCAGGUGGCGCCCCCAGGUGGGGAGAGUGGCGUGGGCACCACCCUGAGGCCACAGGAUUGGGGCCCUGGCACCAUCCUGAUGUGGAGGGCAGCCUGGGCCCGGAGCCCUGGGGCGGAGCAGGGACCCUAGGGCCAGGGGGCCUUGGAGCGGGAAGUGGGCCAGCAGCACCUGGCUUUGGGACGGGGGCGCAAAGGCCGGGAGGUGGGGAGGGAGGGGCACUCGGCCACUCCAGGCUGGCAGGACGAGGUGGGAAGGAGCGGCACACAGGGCAGGUGGUAGCCGCGAUGGGCGGCCAGGUGUCUAGGGGCGCAAGCAGGGCCAGUGCUCAAGGCAGGGGUGCCACCUCGGGGCCUUGCUGCACCCUCACAGCCAAAUGGGCUGGUCCCAUCUGCACUGGCUUUUGGGGUCCCUGAGUGGUCCGGCAUCCCAGCAUGACCCAGCAGCCCAGUGCUGUGUGCCUUCCCCAGGCCUCUGUCUCUUUGGAGGCUGACGCUUGGUGCUUGUUGUUUUUGUUUCUGAAAACCCAGCAGGUCUGAAAGGUGGCCGAGUGGAGCUUCCGUCCUCAGCAGCCAUCCAGCCAGCCCAUCAACCUUCUCUGGAAAGUAGAGAGCCCCGGGCCACCUCACGGGGGCUGUGCUCAGAGCCAUGGCCCCUGCUGUCCCACAGGCUCCCCCAGCGUGGCUGCCCUUGGGGGUGGGGUCCCUGGGCAGCCUCUUCUCCCCGCCCCUCCAACUCUCAGCCCCCCAGUCAGCUUGCUGAGGACCCACCCAGGUGAGUCUGGCAUGGGCGAGAGGGAACCCCACACAAGGGAAACUGAGUCAUAUCUGGGCUAGUGCCUUGGUGGGCAGGGUAGGUGGGUCAGGCUCUUGGGUGUCAGUGCAGACCCCCACCGUGGGUGAGGAGACCACAGCCAACCAAGGUGGGAGAUGUGGGUGCCCAGAGCCCGCAGUGAGGGCAGCCAGGACUGCCUGGCAGGCAGUCCUGCCCCACAGCUGGCCUGGCAGGCUGGUUCAGAUCCCAGGAGCAGGGAGGGACCUAGGUCUAGGUGCCACCCCAGUGCCUUCCUCUGGCCGCUUCCAGGGGCCCACACAGGGGCAGACGACGUUCCCAGACAGCCAGGACCAGGAGCUGGCAUCCUCCCGGGUGACCAGACCAUAACAGCUGGUCUCGAAGCAGGGUGGCUGGGCAGUGCCAGGAUGCCCCCUUCACUCUGCAUUGCCAGAGGGUCAGGAGACGCAAUGUCACUCUCCUCCCAGACCCCACCUCUGGCUCUGCUUGGACAGGUUUUGGGGACAGCCAGUCCUGUCUGCUGACCAAGGGUCCAGUCCCUUCAGAUUUCCUUCUGGGGCCUCAUAGAGCCGUGGGGUGGCUGUCACCAUUACUGGACGGGGCCUGCAUGGGGCAGGGGGGUUAGCAGCACUGAGUGAGAGCCCUGGUGCUCACCCCACUGACUGAGGGACCUGGGACGGGGCAUGGUGCCAUGCGCCUGAAGCUGUCCAGGGUACGGUGCUGCCCUGCACCCGGGGACAGCGAGCCAGACAGCACACAGCCCCUCUUCUGAAGGGCUCUGCAAGCCCUGGGGCAGGGAGGACCUGGGAGGACUCCAUGCCCUGGCACCCAGCAGCGCCUUCUCUACACCUCCCUGUGCCAGGCACCCUGAGCCCUGUUCCCUGGAGGACAGGCACCAGGCCCUGAUGUCCAGCAGGGUCUGCAGUGCCACCUCCCUGGGCAGCCAGGCGAGCUCCAGAAAGAAGGAGCAGCGUCCUGUGCCUGUCCUGCCACAAGGCCUGCCCAGGCCACUGUGGGUGGCAGGGGCAGGACCAGAGCCCUAUGGGGGAAAAGCCCACCGCCCACCCAGAGUCCCAGUGCCACACCCUGUGACAGCCAAGUGGGAGGUGACAGCCUCCUCUUGGUGCCUCCCAGGUGGGUGGAGUCUCUCGGGGACACGGUGGCCACCCCUGUCUGGAUAGCAGUGGUCCGGAGGCCUAUGACUGGCCUCCCAAGCACCCAGUCUUUUCCUUCCCCUCCCACGUGGGUUGGCAAUGUCUCGUGGCCUUCUGUCCCCAGCAAUGCCCAGGAUCCACACCUGGCUCGCCCUUACCCCGCUUGUUGCUCCAGGAGGCACCCGGAAGCCAUGAGUCCCUGCCGGCGAGAGACUGACAGCCCUUUGGGGUGAGGUAGUAGGUUGUAUAGUUUGGGGCUCCGCCCUGCUGUGGAUAACUAUACAAUCUACUGUCUUUCCUGAAGUGGCCGUGAUAUCUGCGGUGGACACAGCCCUGGGCCCUGACUGGGACUUGUGGGGGUCAUGGGGGGUCAUGGCUACAGAGCAGCGAGAGGUGCAACCGGCUUGGGAGGCUCUGCGGGUUGGCCCCGCCCACCCCAAGGGUGUCCGUCCUGAUACCUGGCAUCUGCCCAGCCUGCCCCACUAGUGCUAGGCCUCUGGUGAGGGCAGUGGCUCUUCCCGGGCAGGGAAGGCAGCCCAGGGGCCUUUGCCUGAUAGCAUGCGAGAGGGGCACUCACUGAGACCACCCUUGUCUCCACCUCCUGCCCUGCGCCCACCUGGCCCUGCAGUGCCAGUGGCCAAGGCCCACAGGGCAGGGUUGGAAAGCAGGGCGCAGGGCAGGCCCUCCUGGUGGGAGCGGGCACCGGCGGGGUGAGGUAGUAGGUUGUGUGGUUUCCGGGCAGUGAUGUCGCCCCUUGGAAGAUAACUAUACAACCUACUGCCUUCCCUGAGGAGCCCCGUGACAUCCCUGGGGGCCCACCACAGCAGCCACGUGCUGGGAACAGCGCUGUUCUGACAAGGAAUGAGAGAAGCAGGGGCUGGAGCCCGGCCCCCGAGCCAGGGGCUGGUCAUUGUCAUUUCCUCCAGGGCCAGUGUGGGUGACGGACAGGCACAGGCCACCUCCCUCCUCUAGGCUGCUCAGUCGGUGGUCAUUUCUGUCCCCUUACCAGUACUAGGCCUCAGCCUCCAGACAGCGGCCUCUGCCUGCCUUAAGCCCCCUGCCCAUGCUGCCCUGGCCCACCCCUGUCACCCCAGGGCACCUCCCGUCUCCCCCCUGUUCCAUGGAGGCGCAGCCCCAAGCCGGGCCCCUGAGGAGGCAAACCUAGCCCUGCACCUGGUGGCUUUCUGGAGGAGAUGAUGCCAGCUCCUGUGUGUCCCUCCCUGACCUCCAGGACCUCUCAGCUGGUGGGUGUCAGGAUGCCCCAAAGGAGGGAAUGAGGGCAGGAGUUGUCCCUCACCCAGCAGCCGCCUGUGGAUGUCCCAGGGCCUCGGGCACAGGGCAGGUCCCUGACUUCCAGUGUGAGCUCAGAAGCCCGUUUGAGAGGGUGGUGUCAGAUUUACGGGAUGUCAGGCGCCACCUGCUGCCCGAUGCAGGGAGUGGCCUGGCCCAGCCCAGACCUGGAAGCUGAGGCUGCGUGGAGCCCUGAGAGCUGCCAGGAACAGCCCUACCAGGAAGGAGAAUGGGGCCAGGACCUCGGCGGAGCCCGCAGCGGCACAGCUCUACUGCUGCUCCCUGGGAGUCUGCCGGGGCCGGGCUCCCUUGUGUGUAGGCCGGAACGACGGCCCAGCAGACCCCGCCCGUAGAGCUCCAAGGGACAGGACUGCCGUCCAGGACCAGCACCGAGGAGAGGCACAGGGGCUCAGAGUCACACAGCAGGCCCCACCUGUUCAUCAGUGGGCACAGCUGGGGCCCAAGGGACAGCGAGGGACCCACAUGUCACUCCCUUUAACAUCCAAAAGAAGCCAGGUGUGGCUGACCCACACCUGAAAUCCCAGCGCUGGGGUGGCUAGGCAGGAGAAUUGUCAUGAGUUCAAAGUGAGCGUGGACUACAUAGCAAAACCCUGCCUCCAAAUAAAUAAUGAAAAUAAACUCUAAAGGAGAAAUGAACUUAAAAAUAUUGGACACAAAUGAUACAUAAUAGGUAUUGACCUGUAGGUAUAAUGAGUGCACAGUAUUAAUUUACGGUAUGCUGUUAGGUGUUAUGUGAUGAACAUAAUGAGACUUUAUUACACGAUAUAUAGUGGACGCGCGUCUUAUGUUGUGUGUCUGAUGUUUGUGAGGGGGCUGGACAACUGGAGAUUGAGCUUAGGGCCUUUGCACUAAGCUAGAUCCCCAGCCCUUUUUUUGCGGUAGGUUCUGGCUAAGUUGCCCAGGCUGGGCUUGAACCUGGCCAUCCGAGUGCUGGAUAAGAGGCGUGUGCCAUCACGCCUGAUUUGUCUUCGAGCUACUCCAGUCAAACCUGCUGGGUUCAUGGAGGAAGGGCUCGGGAAGGCCAGGUGCCCGCCCCCGGGGAGGGCAUGCUGGGCACCGCCCCCGGAGGGUGAGGGGCUCCUUCCGUUCCGGGCCUUCUCGGACCUGCUUCGCCCUGUGGAGCCACCGUCCGGGCAGCCCAGACUCGCCACCACCUGUCUCCCCCCCGCAGUCGGCGCGUUUUCCAGCAGCGCCACCGCGUGGCAGCAGGAGGAAGUGCUGGCUGAGAGCUGUGAUCACCACGCUCCGCCUACCCCAGUCAGCGCCCUGUCCGGGGGAAGGGGGGUGGAGCCUGGGUCCCAGGACAAGGCUGGGGCGGCCAGAGUGACCAAGGGGUGUCUGUCCUCCAUCUGCCCUGCACUCGCCGACCCCUGCCCUGGGCUCUGUGCCCAACACAGCAACAGGACAGGAUUGCCGGCUCAGAGAGAGGACUAAACCCAGGGAACAGGCUUGGCUCGCGCGCACACACACCCUGUGUCCUGCCACACACAAGCCUGUGAGAGGAGCCAGAGGGAGCUGCCCCAUCCAGGCAACCCACACGGGGACGGACAAGCCUAGGAAGUGGCUGGUGUGGCUGAGCCUCGCGACCAUGGAGGUGACAGGCUGGGAGGGGACAGGACCUGGGUCUCCCUGGGUCUCCCUGGCUCUCCUGCCAGGCCCUUCUGGAGGACUCCUGCUGGGGGGUCAGAGCAGGCGGGCCUGCGGGUGCUGCUCGCUCGCUGCCUGGGGAACAAGACCAACUCCACACCUAUCCACAGCAGCCCUCAGCCCCGGGCUUCCAAGCCCCUGCGGGACCUAGCCACAGCGCGUCCACGUGGGCAGCCAGGACACUCUCUUGGGUGACACUCAGUCCCCGCUGCAUGGACACGGAGCCCGAGUGACUUUCCCAGGGCCCCUUGGCAGGUCGGGGGGAGCCAGAGUGGGUGGCGGGCUCCCGCGUGUGGCAUGGUCCAGAGCGGGAGCCCUGGGGUGGGGACUGAGGCUCCACAGGCAGAACAGGGGCUGCCCACUUCCUUGGGUGGUGGGCAGAGGAGAGGCACGGCCCGAACCUGGAAGCAGGACAGCUGCACCCCAGCAGCCAGGCUUCCCUGGCCGCCUCUCCUCACCCUCUCCUCUUUCCCUCUCAUCCUGGGCCCAGCGGAGCCUCUGUCGCCCAGCCGAGCCCUGCCUGUCCUUUAGACCUUUGCAUCGCCUGCCUAAGGCCUGGGGAGCCCUUCAAGGUCCUGGCAGGAGUGGUUCCUGGGGGGUGCCCCCCACCUCCAUUGUGGGACCUGACGGGGAACCCCGGAGCCCAGCAGCUCACCCAGGGCCCACAUCCUGGCUGAACAGGAGGGGCCCCAGUGCUCAAAGUUCCCAGAGGUCCCAGGAGUGAGCUCAGGAGACGAGACCAGGGCUUCCUGCAGGAAGCAGUCAGGGGCCCAAGAAGACCCCAACGCCAGCUUCCUGAGCCCCUGUGGAGGGACGAAGGUGGCCACGCUCUACAGGGAAGGGACCCAGGGCCAGUGAGAGGAUCCCAGAGGCCGGGCUCUGCUGUGCACGAUGCUGGCCCUGGUCACACUCCGUUAGCCCACCAGGGGACAGGGUGGACAGGAGCUGAGGCUGUGUGCAUCCCACUCCUCAGGACUAGGGAAGGGUCUCCUCCUGUCCUAACCAUCUCAAUCCCAGGGUGCCCUCGUCUGCAUCCAAACAGAGUCCUCCCGUCACCGCCCCUACCAAGUGUGGCCAUGAGUGCCGUGGGCCCUGGCACCCACCCUCCCCUGGC